rnacentral:misc_RNA from 1 species
CAGAGUUCAUGCCCUUCGGGGUAGACCUCCCACCCUUUGUAUACAUUGCCUUUGUUGCUUUGGCGGACCGCCUUCUAGCCACCGGCUCCGGCUGGUGCGUGUCCGCCAGAGACCCCAAACUCUGUUUUACAGUGUUGUCCGAGUACUAUAUAAUAGUUA